UGAUGAACGCUGGCGGCGUGCUUAACACAUGCAAGUCGAGCGAUGAAGUUUCCUUCGGGAAGCGGAUUAGCGGCGGACGGGUGAGUAACACGUGGGUAACCUGCCUCAUAGAGUGGAAUAGCCUUCCGAAAGGAAGAUUAAUACCGCAUAAUGUUGAAAGAUGGCAUCAUCAUUCAACCAAAGGAGCAAUCCGAUAUGAGAUGGACCCGCGGCGCAUUAGCUAGUUGGUGGGGUAACGGCCUACCAAGGCGACGAUGCGUAGCCGACCUGAGAGGGUGAUCGGCCACAUUGGGACUGAGACACGGCCCAGACUCCUACGGGAGGCAGCAGUGGGGAAUAUUGCACAAUGGGGGAAACCCUGAUGCAGCAACGCCGCGUGAGUGAUGAAGGUUUUCGGAUCGUAAAGCUCUGUCUUUGGGGAAGAUAAUGACGGUACCCAAGGAGGAAGCCACGGCUAACUACGUGCCAGCAGCCGCGGUAAUACGUAGGUGGCGAGCGUUAUCCGGAUUUACUGGGCGUAAAGGGAGCGUAGGCGGAUGAUUAAGUGGGAUGUGAAAUACCCGGGCUCAACUUGGGUGCUGCAUUCCAAACUGGUUAUCUAGAGUGCAGGAGAGGAGAGUGGAAUUCCUAGUGUAGCGGUGAAAUGCGUAGAGAUUAGGAAGAACACCAGUGGCGAAGGCGACUCUCUGGACUGUAACUGACGCUGAGGCUCGAAAGCGUGGGGAGCAAACAGGAUUAGAUACCCUGGUAGUCCACGCCGUAAACGAUGGAUACUAGGUGUGGGGGUUUCAACACCUCCGUGCCGCCGCUAACGCAUUAAGUAUUCCGCCUGGGGAGUACGGUCGCAAGAUUAAAACUCAAAGGAAUUGACGGGGACCCGCACAAGUAGCGGAGCAUGCGGUUUAAUUCGAAGCAACGCGAAGAACCUUACCUACACUUGACAUCCCUUGCAUUACUCUUAAUCGAGGAAAUCCCUUCGGGGACAAGGUGACAGGUGGUGCAUGGUUGUCGUCAGCUCGUGUCGUGAGAUGUUGGGUUAAGUCCCGCAACGAGCGCAACCCUUGUCGUUAGUUACUACCAUUAAGUUGAGGACUCUAGCGAGACUGCCUGGGUUAACCAGGAGGAAGGUGGGGAUGACGUCAAAUCAUCAUGCCCCUUAUGUGUAGGGCUACACACGUGCUACAAUGGCUGGUACAGAGAGAUGCAAUACCGCGAGGUGGAGCCAAACUUAAAAACCAGUCUCAGUUCGGAUUGUAGGCUGAAACUCGCCUACAUGAAGCUGGAGUUACUAGUAAUCGCGAAUCAGAAUGUCGCGGUGAAUACGUUCCCGGGUCUUGUACACACCGCCCGUCACACCAUGAGAGUUGGCAAUACCCGAAGUCCGUGAGCUAACCGCAAGGAGGCAGCGGCCGAAGGUAGGGU
rnacentral:rRNA from 1 species